UACGUAGGUGGCAAGCGUUUGUCCGGAAUUAUUGGGCGUAAAGCGCGCGCAGGCGGUCUUUUAAGUCUGAUGUGAAAGCCCACGGCUCAACCGUGGAGGGUCAUUGGAAACUGGGGGACUUGAGUGCAGAAGAGGAAAGUGGAAUUCCAAGUGUAGCGGUGAAAUGCGUAGAGAUUUGGAGGAACACCAGUGGCGAAGGCGACUUUCUGGUCUGUAACUGACGCUGAGGCGCGAAAGCGUGGGGAGCAAACAGG
rnacentral:rRNA from 1 species